GCAGUCACAUAUCCUAAAGGAUCUUCUGGUGAUGGAACAUUCACAGUUGACCAGGUCAAAUUCAAGAACAGAGAAAAUUCUCAAGGUGUCAAUUUUCAGGGAAAGUAUCUUGAGUAAAGUGCAGUAAAACUCGCGCAUAUAAUUGCUGAAUCAGCUAAUAACAGACAAAGUGUCGAUGACAUAAGUGAUUUAUUCAUGAAAAUCAGUUGAAUUCAAUAUUCAAAGUGAAGGUCUUAAGAAAUUGUCAAACAUUGGACCAGAGGCUAAGUUAAAGGAAAGGGUCAAAGUGCUUGAUGAUGAACAAGAUCAUUUCUGUUGAAGAAAGAAGAUAUUCUGCAAAUCAACAACACACAUCCAAAAUACUUCAUAAUUGGUGGAAAGGAGGCUACAUCUAUUUCCAUUAUUUGGUUCAUUUACAUGCUCUGCAAACAUCCUGAGAUUCAAGAUAUGGUUGAAUAAGAAAUCAAAGAAGCAACAAACAUGAGAAACAAAUUCAAGAUAAGCUUCAUGUAACUUGGAACAAAACUCUCGCGAGUCUAUCCUGCAUCUCAGUGUGAUAGGGAUACGGAGCUAAUCCAUGAUCUAGCAGACUGCAGACUCGUAUUUGGUGCAACUAGACAAAUUGAAGUUAUACGAGGAUAAGUAAUGGACAAAUGUCUCAACAAGCCACACGCGUGGACAAAUGCUAUAGGCUGUCAAUUUCAAGGCAUCUUGGUGGUGGGAUAAGACUUUGGGACCAAUAGGUCUUGGGUUCGAUUCCCACAAAGGGGGUUUUCCCAUAUUUAUUGGGUUUCCUCCUGAAUUGGUGUAUAGGCAUUAUGCCUAGUGGAGAUGGAUAUGAUCGGGUGGUUCCGCUGGUGGCACGAUGAUACUCUAGUGCCCGUCAGUGAUCCAAAUUUGCCGUUCAAAAAAAAAAUUCAAGGAACUUAUAAUUGAUGAAGAAUUAAUGGAGAUUACCUCUAAUGGUAAGUUACCACUAAUGAGGAUUAUGGAACUAGCCUAUGAUGUCAAUUGUCAAGUUACCAUCUGGAUGAAGAUCAAGGGAACUUACCACUGAAGCAAGUUACCUCUAGUGAAGAUUGAUGAAGUCUCGCUAAUGAAGAAGAGAUGCCACGUGUUAGCCUAUCAUUUGACGAAGACAAUCUGUUGAGAGGAUGUUAUACAUAAUUCUCACUUGUCAAUUUCGUACGUCUCGACAAGAAUAUAGAUACACGAGUUUGCAUUGAUAUUAUUAUCACUUGGCCCCAUAGUUUAAUGCGUCAAGCAGUUGAGUGUGAAGUCGGUGCAUGAACUUAUGUGUGCAAAUUCAGAGAAAAUUUGCAUGUCACCCUCUUCAUAGCUAGAACGUUAGCUAGAAAACCAUAUGUAAAUUCAAUUUUAAUUUAUAACUAGUUUUACAUGAUGUAUUCAAACAAUCAAUUUUGAUUAAUACUUGUGCUUAUAGCAAUUGUUCUUCUACUCU